UACGGGGGGAGCAAGCGUUGUUCGGAUUUACUGGGCGUAAAGGGCGCGUAGGCGGCCACCGCAAGUCGGUUGUGAAAUCUCCGGGCUUAACCCGGAAAGGUCAAUCGAUACUGCGGGGCUAGAGUGCAGAAGGGGCAACUGGAAUUCUCGGUGUAGCGGUGAAAUGCGUAGAUAUCAAGAGGAACACCUGAGGUGAAGACGGGUUGCUGGGCUGACACUGACGCUGAGGCGCGAAAGCGUGGGUAGCAAACAGGAUUAGAACGUACCGUCGUAGA
rnacentral:rRNA from 1 species